AAUCCAUUGAAGAUGGGAGAAAUGUUGAUUAUAUAGAGACGGAGCAGCUGAACCCUCAGACGCAGAUGUGAUUCGGCACGGAUCCAGCGGCACUAAAACUACAUACAGGAGACGACAACAAAUAAUGUGAGGAGCAGAAACACAAGAGAAACAUGGAGGAGAUAAAGCUGAUCCUUCACUGCAGCAGAACUCCUGAGCAGCAUCUGAGUGCUGCAUCUGCUGAAGCGUUUGUAAGCGUAUCAUUUCUGCAGGAUUCUUGGGUCGUGAUGUAGCCUAAAACCCAGAGGCUCACGGGGGUCUGAUGCCGGUUCAUCAGGAUGGAGCCCGCGGGCCGCUGCUGUAGAUGUGCAGUGGAGUGUGUCAGACGCUGGAUGAGAUGAGAUGAAGCCUACAGAUGCACGGUCUGAAUAUAUGACUGAAUCAUGAAACACUCACUCUGCUGGUUGCCAAGGCGUUGCUAUGUGGUUGCUAGGGUGAUCUGUGUGGUUGCUAGGUGUUUUCUUCCUAUCUCACAUAUGGCUUGGGUCCCUCCUUUAAUGUGCGUCUGUGGGAUUUUUGUCCGCCUGUUUUAUCGUCCAGCACAGGGAUACACUAUUUAUUUUGUCAACCAAAACCUGAAAUAUUCACUUCAAGUUCCCC